GACAUACUGUAUAUAUCAACCCUGAUACAGGACAUAUUUUUAUAUCCACCCUGAUACAGAACAUACUGUAUAUAUCAACCCUGAUACAGAACAUACUGUAUAUAUCAACCCUGAUACAGGACAUACUGUAUAUAUCC